rnacentral:rRNA from 1 species
UGCGUAGGUGGCAAGCGUUGUCCGGAUUUAUUGGGUUUACAGGGUGCGUAGGCGGCUUAUUAAGUCAGUGGUGAAAUACUCUAGCUCAACUAGAGGGGUGCCAUUGAUACUGAUGAGCUUGAGUACAGAUGAGGUAGGCGGAAUUGACGGUGUAGCGGUGAAAUGCUUAGAUAUCGUCAAGAACACCUAUAGCGAAGGCAGCUUACUAGGCUGUAACUGACGCUGAGGCACGAAAGUGUGGGGAUCAAACAGG